rnacentral:tRNA from 1 species
GGCGAGAUGUGUGAGUGGUCUAAACAGCUGUCUUAAGGUUCGGCAGUCCUCCGGGGCGUGGGUUCGAAUCCCACUCUCGUCA